UGCCUUUUCUGCAGAGUUACUGCUUGCUUUAAAGACCGGUAACCCUCCCUGAAGCUUGGAAACGAGACUCCAACUAGGACUAUCACAAAAGCUGAUUUAAAAAGAUUUAUUUAUUUAUUUAUUUUUAAUGUAUGUGAGUACACUGUAGCUGUCUUUAGCCAUACCAGAAAAGGGCAUCAGAUCCCAUUACAGAUGGUUGUGAACCACCAUGUGGUUGCUGGGAAUUGAACUCAGGACCUCUGGAAGAGCAGUCAGUGCUCUUAACCACUGAGCCAUCUCUCCAGCCCCCAAAGCUGAUUUUUUUUAAAAUCUAAAUUAAUUUCAGUGAAGAGAGAACUAGUCAUAAAGGCUACCAGUGCAGUUUCUCAAAAUUGUACUGUUUGGUUGGCAAAGCUGAUCAUGUGAUCUGUUUCCUGUUGGACUUAGUUAUCUAGCUACAGUUUUAUUUUCUAAGCAGCUCAGUUGUUUUACACUUGGAAACUAAACUAUUUUACCACCUGGUGCAUCCUAUUUAAAUUGUAUCCUCUCAAGUCCAGAAAUGGUGUACUAAUGUAACAUCCUCAAGAUAAAAUCUCAGAGUGUUAGAUCAUGGCCCUGCCCUGUAAAACAUUGGUCACUGUAAGAGGCCAGAUCCUACAGCCUGAAGAGAAGCAGGCCACACCUCCUGCAACUCUGUGGGACACUUAGGAAGCCUUGCUAUUCUGUGAUUUGUUAGUUCCCAAUGUGUGGUCCUGCCCAGUGCCUGGUUUUACCAUACUCCUUGUCAAGAAAGCUACCCUACGUGUUGUGGGACUUCCACCACCCCUGAAAGGAUAUGAGUUGGAUAUUACAUUUUCUUUCAGGGGUUCUCUGAAGGCUUCUUGUAAGUCUCCCUCUCAUCAUCCUGUCCAGAGGAUUGAUCUCUCGCUCUCUCUCUCUCUCUCUCUCUCUCUCUCUCUCCUUUAUUUCUGUUAAUGCAGCUCUUUUCUACCUUUCCAUGUCUUAAAGGAAGCCUAUUCUACUUUCUCUUUAAGGUUGUCUCUGAUACUUUAUUACACACACACACACACACACACACACACACACAUUCAUUCAUUCAUAUAUCUGUCUAUUCUUUUUCUAAAGUGAUACUUGUUUGUGUAUGGCCAUGGGGAUUGAACCCAAGGCUAUGAAAGUGCUGAGCAAGUUCAGAGAGAUAUACCUUCGGCAUACAAAUUAUACUUAUUUCUAUGAAAAGGAGUCAAUAUAACCCUGGCUAGCAUGAAACUAUAUAGGCUGGCCAAAACUCACAGAGAUCUGAUUGUCUCUGCAUCCUGAGUAUUCAAAGUCAUGUAUUACUACACCUGGCCAAAAUAUACUUUCUUAAACUCUAAAUAUAACCAACCAGGUUCAUUAGUAUUUUCUCAGAUCCCCAUAAUGUAACAUAUCUUAAUGUAGGGUCCCACAGAUAGAAUUGAGGGAAUCCAUGAACCUGGAAGGGGUUCUGAUCAAUUCAGCAUUUUUUCCCUUGUAAAUACUGGCAACAAAUCAUGUUAAUAUUAUCAUCAGUCACUGCUUGUGAGGUCACUAAUACACAGGUAUAUUCUAACAUCACGGUUGAUUAAGUUAUCCCAAAACAUCAUCUAUUUUCAUCACUUUAAUAAUAUGGUACUUACUAUAAGACUUACCCCCACCCUAGGCUAUCUUGAUAAAACUGGUUUCCCUUGUAACUUUGUGUAUUCACAUCUGAAACCAUUCUUCUGAGAAUGUGUCCAGGGACUUCUGCAGGUGAACCAAGGCUUCUUGUGGUACCAAAUAUUUUUCUGGAGAAGAAUAGCAAUGAUCAUGUGGGCUCUGGUUGAUAUAUAAAAGUAUAUCUUUUGGUAAUUACUAAUUCUUUGGUUUUAUUUAAGGAUUCUAAUUCGGCAAGCUAUAAAAUUGACAUUGGAACGAAUCAUACACAACAGACUAUGCUUUGCUUUAUUGCUUUGUUUUUCACAAAGACAUGAUUUUUCCUAAAAAUUGCUUCAAGGUUUGCAUGAAGUACUUAAGGUGGGAAAUGAAAUGCUCAUAACACGGUCCCAAACUUAACUUUCAUUAGUGUUCACUUAUUUUAAAAAUAUGCCACAAAAGGCUCGGGAUUAUUGUUGUUAGCAUUAUUAGUUCUUAUGGAUAUUUUUAACACAAACUUCAAAUACUCGUGUUGUACCUGAGACACACAGUGAUGAAGCUGAACUCGUGGAGACCUUAGGAUGGUUUAUGAUGAUAUGAGAUCUUCUCAUCUUUAUAGAUUCUAAAGCAGUUCAUUGAUGCUGUCAUUAAAGUUAUAAUUAAACAGGAGUUUGAAGGACUUGUCAAGUGUCCAAGUUAAUUGCUGCAUUGGUCUUGACUAAGCUGUGGUAUUUAUGGAGGAAUAGGGUAUACAAAAAGUUGUCUUUCUUGUUUAUUGGUCUGCUCAGGUUUAUUAUACUCUAUAUACUCUGUCUUUGAUUAUAGUAACCAUAGUCUAAGAAAGUUGCAUGUUUAUAAGAAAGACAAAUAAGCUCCUAGAAACAUGGCUAAAUACGGAUGGCUCUCUUCCCAUACUGCUCCAGGUUAUGCAAAUGUGUCUCCAUUAUUUACGAGAACUAGAAAGUAGAACCAUUUUGUAAACUAGCCAGGCAACUCCUAGCCUUACUGUGUAAGAUAAGCAGAGAGCAUUCUGCCUGUAUACACAAGGUAAUCCUGGUCCUUUGGAAGCAAUUAAGUAAUUUGCCUGUGGACCAGGCUUACACCCAACCAUUCUGGUUUCCAUUGAGUAAUUUUUACUGCAUAGGGCCACUCUCACACACCCCUUGCCUUCUGCAGUGAUUUAUUGCUUACUAGUAAAGUCACGGUCAGCAGCUAUCUCAGCAACAGAGAAGAAAGGCUGUGGGAAGAGGGCCUUCCUUCCUUCCUUGUUUGGGAGCUGAUCAAGAUAUUUCUGUAAUUUCAGGAAAUAGCAUCCAAGCAAGCGAUCAUAGCUGCGCUGUGAGGGUCACAUCUAAGGGGUCAAGUUAGGUGUACUUUUGAUGUGAACUAGUGACCACAAAAAAAAAAAUUCUGAGAAAUUAAAAAGAUUUUAAAAUUAUGAAAAAUUAUUCACUUAGAAUAUUUGUUAUCUUAGAAACAUAUUAUGGGACCUAUGAAAUAGUAUUCUCAGAACAUUUCCAGUAAUAUUUUUAAAAAGUUUGUAUACUUAUAUAGUAAAGCAAAUUUUUCAUAUAAACUUUUGGAAUUUUAACUUUUAGUAAGACUGAAUAAUUACUCUUAGUAUUUAUGAAAAAUUUGAAUCACUUUCAUAAUUAUUCCUUUCUUAAUACUGAUACUUAGAUUUUUCUGGAAAAUUUUAAGCAUAUAUUUAAUUAAAUAUUCUUGCAAUAUUUUACAAGUUUCAACUUUACGUGUUUCCUUUUGCCAAAUAGAAAAAAUUUUAGUUUAUAAUUUAUUUCAUCUACUGAUAUUAAAGUAGGACUAAGCUUAGGACAAACCUGCAUCAAACUGUUUCAAUCUUUAUUUUGUAAUGAAAUAUAAAGAUACUUUUGUUUACAUC
rnacentral:lncRNA from 1 species